rnacentral:rRNA from 1 species
UGGGGAAUAUUGCACAAUGGGCGCAAGCCUGAUGCAGCCAUGCCGCGUGUGUGAAGAAGGCCCUAGGGUUGUAAAGCACUUUCAAUUGGGAAGAAAAGCUAAAGGUUAAUAACCUUUAGCCCUGACAUUACCUUUAGAAGAAGCACCGGCUAACUCCGUGCCAGCAGCCGCGGUAAUACGGAGGGUGCGAGCGUUAAUCGGAAUUACUGGGCGUAAAGCGCGCGUAGGCGGUUGCUUUAGUCGGAUGUGAAAGCCCCGGGCUUAACCUGGGAACUGCAUCCGAUACUGGGCAACUAGAGUACGAGAGAGGGGGGUAGAAUUCCACGUGUAGCGGUGAAAUGCGUAGAUAU